UACAGAGGGUGCGAGCGUUAAUCGGAAUUACUGGGCGUAAAGCGCGCGUAGGCGGCUUUGCAAGUCGGGUGUGAAAUCCCCAGGCUUAACCUGGGAACUGCAUUCGAGACUGCAUUGCUAGAGUAUGGGAGAGGGAGGUGGAAUUUCCGGUGUAGCGGUGAAAUGCGUAGAUAUCGGAAGGAACAUCAGUGGCGAAAGCGACUUCCUGGACCAGUACCGACGUUCAGGCACGAAAGCGUGGGGAGCAAACAGG
rnacentral:rRNA from 1 species